UAGGGAAUAUUGGGCAAUGGCCGAGAGGCUGACCCAGCCAUGCCGCGUGCAGGAAGAAGGCCUUCUGGGUUGUAAACUGCUUUUACCAGGGAAGAAAACGCGCCUGCGGGCGUAACUGACGGUACCUGGUGAAUAAGCACCGGCUAACUCCGUGCCAGCAGCCGCGGUAAUACGGAGGGUGCAAGCGUUGUCCGGAUUUAUUGGGUUUAAAGGGUGCGUAGGCGGCCCGUUAAGUCAGCGGUGAAAUCCCAGGGCUCAACCCUGGAACUGCCGUUGAUACUGGCGGGCUUGAGUUCGGUCGAGGCGGGCGGAACUGGUGGUGUAGCGGUGAAAUGCAUAGAUACCACCAAGAACCCCGAUUGCGAAGGCAGCUCGCUGGGCCGAAACUGACGCUGAGGCACGAAAGCGUGGGGAGCGAACAGG
rnacentral:rRNA from 1 species